CCCAACUAUUUAUUUCAUUAACCCUUAUACCUUAGGCCUGUAAACUAGAUGAAAUUGUGGAGAAACCCACAAGAUCAUUGCACUCAUUACAAAAAUCCAACUCAAUCAUAAGCACUAAGACAAAACAACCAAACAUUAAAGAUUCACAAAGCACACAUACAGACUAGACUCAACUUUUUCUUACUAACGUUUAUUACAAAAGGGGACUUCCUACUUCUUAAACACGGUGUGACUGCAGCGGCAUCCAGGGUAGCAUCAGAUAUGCUAGCAUGCUUACUGAGACGGUCACUGAGAGACGAAUGAAUGGAUUCCACCAUGCGUGAACCAGUAAACUCAUUCCACCUUGUGAUGUGUGCUUCUGUGCUCCAGUGGCUCUUAUACUUAGGAUGAGCCCACUUAGUGCACUUAUACUCCACCUUGGCUUGCUGUUCAGGAUAAUGGUCUUGU
rnacentral:lncRNA from 1 species